GAUGAACGCUGGCGGCGUGCCUAAUACAUGCAAGUCGAGCGAACGGACGAGAAGCUUGCUUCUCUGAUGUUAGCGGCGGACGGGUGAGUAACACGUGGAUAACCUACCUAUAAGACUGGGAUAACUUCGGGAAACCGGAGCUAAUACCGGAUAAUAUUUUGAACCGCAUGGUUCAAAAGUGAAAGACGGUCUUGCUGUCACUUAUAGAUGGAUCCGCGCUGCAUUAGCUAGUUGGUAAGGUAACGGCUUACCAAGGCAACGAUGCAUAGCCGACCUGAGAGGGUGAUCGGCCACACUGGAACUGAGACACGGUCCAGACUCCUACGGGAGGCAGCAGUAGGGAAUCUUCCGCAAUGGGCGAAAGCCUGACGGAGCAACGCCGCGUGAGUGAUGAAGGUCUUCGGAUCGUAAAACUCUGUUAUUAGGGAAGAACAUAUGUGUAAGUAACUGUGCACAUCUUGACGGUACCUAAUCAGAAAGCCACGGCUAACUACGUGCCAGCAGCCGCGGUAAUACGUAGGUGGCAAGCGUUAUCCGGAAUUAUUGGGCGUAAAGCGCGCGUAGGCGGUUUUUUAAGUCUGAUGUGAAAGCCCACGGCUCAACCGUGGAGGGUCAUUGGAAACUGGAAAACUUGAGUGCAGAAGAGGAAAGUGGAAUUCCAUGUGUAGCGGUGAAAUGCGCAGAGAUAUGGAGGAACACCAGUGGCGAAGGCGACUUUCUGGUCUGUAACUGACGCUGAUGUGCGAAAGCGUGGGGAUCAAACAGGAUUAGAUACCCUGGUAGUCCACGCCGUAAACGAUGAGUGCUAAGUGUUAGGGGGUUUCCGCCCCUUAGUGCUGCAGCUAACGCAUUAAGCACUCCGCCUGGGGAGUACGACCGCAAGGUUGAAACUCAAAGGAAUUGACGGGGACCCGCACAAGCGGUGGAGCAUGUGGUUUAAUUCGAAGCAACGCGAAGAACCUUACCAAAUCUUGACAUCCUUUGACAACUCUAGAGAUAGAGCCUUCCCCUUCGGGGGACAAAGUGACAGGUGGUGCAUGGUUGUCGUCAGCUCGUGUCGUGAGAUGUUGGGUUAAGUCCCGCAACGAGCGCAACCCUUAAGCUUAGUUGCCAUCAUUAAGUUGGGCACUCUAAGUUGACUGCCGGUGACAAACCGGAGGAAGGUGGGGAUGACGUCAAAUCAUCAUGCCCCUUAUGAUUUGGGCUACACACGUGCUACAAUGGACAAUACAAAGGGCAGCGAAACCGCGAGGUCAAGCAAAUCCCAUAAAGUUGUUCUCAGUUCGGAUUGUAGUCUGCAACUCGACUACAUGAAGCUGGAAUCGCUAGUAAUCGUAGAUCAGCAUGCUACGGUGAAUACGUUCCCAGGUCU
rnacentral:rRNA from 1 species